AACUGAAACAUCUAAGUACCCGGAGGAAAAGAAAACAAACCAGUGAUUGCGCAAGUAGCGGCGAGCGAACGCGCAUCAGCCCAAACCGCAUACGUGGCAACGCGUAGUGCGGGGUUGUAGGACCGUCGACAAACGAACAGUCAGAGGUUAGCGGAACCGUCUGGAAAGUCGGGCCGCAGCGGGUGAAAGCCCCGUACGCGAAAACCGCUGGCCAUCGGAGGCGGCACCUGAGUAAGCCGGGACACGAGAAAUCCUGGCCGAACCCGCGGGGACCAUCCCGUAAGGCUAAAUACUACCGAGAGACCGAUAGCGAACCAGUACCGUGAGGGAAAGGUGAAAAGAACCUCGAACAGAGGAGUGAAACAGACCCUGAAAUCAUGCGCCUACAAGCGGUCGGAGCCACCGAGUGUGGUGACGGCGUGCCUUUUGCAUAAUGAUCCUACGAGUUGCCGUCGCCGGCGAGGCUAAGUGCCAGAUGAGGCAUGGAGCCGGAGCGAAAGCGAGUCAGAACAUGGCGCGCAGUCGGCGGGGGCAGACGCGAAACCAAGUGAUCUACCCUUGGGCAGGUUGAAGGCGGGGUAACACCCGCUGGAGGACCGCACCGGUAAGCGUUGAAAAGCUUUCGGAUGACCUGAGGGUAGGAGUGAAAGGCCAAUCAAACUUGGAGAUAGCUCGUACUCCCCGAAAUGCAUUUAGGUGCAGCCUCGGGCCGAAUACCGCGGAGGUAGAGCGACUGAUAAGAUGCGAGGGCUUCACCGCCUAUCAAGUCUUGACAAACUCCGAAUGCCGCGGCAUGCUACCCGGGAGUGAGGGCGUGGGUGCUAAGGUCCACGUCCGAAAGAGGAACAACUCAGACCACCGGCCAAGGCCCCCAAAUACGGGCCGAGUUGAAGCCAAUAACGAGGUGGGAUUGCAAGGACAGCUAGGAUGUUGGCUUGGAAGCAGCCAUUCAUUUGAAGAGUGCGUAACAGCUCACUAGUCGAGUGAUCCCGCAUGGAUAAUAAUCGGGCAUAAGUCCGUUGCCGAAGCCGUGGAAUGCAGCGUAAUGCUGCAUUGGUAGGGGAGCAUUCCGGCAGCCGCAGAAGGUUGGGCGUGAGCCCAGCUGGAGGCACCGGAAAAGCAAAUGUAGGAAUAAGUAACGAUAAAGGGGGCGGGAAACCCCCUCGCCGUAAGACCAAGGGUUCCUGAUCAACGCUAAUCGGAUCAGGGUAAGCCGGGGCCUAAGUGGAAGCCGCAAGGCGCACACGAUGGACAAACGGUAAAGAAUCCGUUGCCCCGCAGUCCCAGUGAUGUGGAGACGGAGCAGUGACACACCCGCGUGCUGACGGAAUAGCACGUUGAACCGCGUAGGUAAACCGAGGUGAGGCAAAUCCCACCACGGUGCUGAAACGGGACAGUACGGAGCGCCCCCGGGCAAUCCGACAGCGGUGGUAACCAUACUCCCGAGAAAAUCCGCUAAACGCUAUAAAGGGCUGCGGGCCCGUACCGCAAACCGACACAGGUGGUCGGGUAGAAUAUACCAAGGCGCUCGAGAGAUUCACGGUUAAGGAACUAGGCAAAUUGACCCCGUAACUUCGGGACAAGGGGUCCCCUCCUCCGGGAGGGGCGCAGAGAAUAGGUCCAGGCAACUGUUUAACAAAAACACAGGGCUGUGCGAAGUUGAAAGAUGAAGCAUACAGCCUGACACCUGCCCGGUGCCGGAAGGUUAAGAGGAGGCGUCAUCGCAAGAGAAGCGCUGAAUUGAAGCCCCGGUAAACGGCGGCCGUAACUAUAACGGUCCUAAGGUAGCGAAAUUCCUUGUCGGGUAAGUUCCGACCUGCACGAAUGGUGUAAUGAUCCGGACACUGUCUCAACCGUGAGCUCGGUGAAAUUGUAGUAUCGGUGAAGAUGCCGGGUACCCGCAACGGGACGAAAAGACCCCGUGAACCUUUACUGCAGCUUUGCAUUGUGACCGGGUGCUCGAUGUGUAGGAUAGUCAGGAGGCAGCGAAACAGCCACGCCAGUGGUUGGGGAGCCGACGUUGAAAUACUGACCUUCGCGCAUCUGAGUCUCUAACGCCCUGUAGGGCGGACAUUGCAUGGCAGGUAGUUUGACUGGGGUGGUCGCCUCCAAAAGAGUAACGGAGGCUUCUAAAGGUGCGCUCAGGCCGAUUGGUAACCGGUCGGAGAGUGUAAUGGCACAAGCGCGCUUGACUGGGAGACCAACAAGUCGAUCAGGUAGGAAACUAGAGCAUAGUGAUCCGGUGG
rnacentral:rRNA from 1 species